GACGAACGCUGGCGGCGUGCUUAACACAUGCAAGUCGAACGGAAAGGCCUCUUUCGGGGGGUACUCGAGUGGCGAACGGGUGAGUAACACGUGAGUAACCUGCCCUUGACUUUGGGAUAACUUCAGGAAACUGGGGCUAAUACCGGAUAGGAGCUCCUGCUGCAUGGUGGGGGUUGGAAAGUUUCGGCGGUUGGGGGUGGAGUCGCGGCUUAUCAGCUUGUUGGUGGGGUAGUGGCUUACCAAGGCUUUGACGGGUAGCCGGCCUGAGAGGGUGACCGGCCACAUUGGGACUGAGAUACGGCCCAGACGCCUACGGGAGGAAGAAGUGGGGAAUAUUGCACAAUGGGUGGAAGCCUGAUGCAGCAACGCCGUGUGCGGGAUGACGGCCUUCGGGUUGUAAAACGCUUUCGCUCAUGACGAAGCUUUGUGUGACGGUAGUGGGUAAAGAAGCACCGGCUAACUACGUG
rnacentral:rRNA from 1 species